CAAGUCUGAAGACGGCUCUGUUUCUCCACCUCCAGUCAGUAAUGGGGAGCCUUGAGCCAUUCAUGACACACCAGUUGCCUGAAAAGAGGUGAAGAUGGAAUCACAUAGGAUGUUAAAGCUGCGUUAUCACUUCUGGUUGGACUAGGAUCAAGAAAUGAAUUCAAGGAACAGCCAAUGUCAUAGAACCAUCCCUCCAAUGAGAUGCCAGAAGGAUGAAAAGAUUUUAUCUUCCCUCUUGUGUUUCGCAAAGCUCAAUUGAAACCAAGACUGUCUCCUUUUUCUUCACCAAUAUGCAUCCAUGACUAUAUAAGACGCUCCUGUAGGGACCCACACAUGUUCCAUGCUACCUGCCAUCGGACACGCUCACAUGAUGCUCUGACCUCUGCCCCUGCACCCUGGUGCCAUGAAGCCGAGUGAGGCAGCUAGUGAAGAGCAGGAGAGUGCCUGGGAGACAUGUCAUCAC